CGCGUAGGCGGUGCCACAAGUCACCUGUGAAAUCUCCGGGCUUAACUCGGAGCCUGCAGGCGAAACUGUGGUGCUGGAGUGUGGGAGAGGUGCGUGGAAUUCCCGGUGUAGCGGUGAAAUGCGUAGAUAUCGGGAAGAACACCUGUGGCGAAAGCGGCGCACUGGACCACAACUGACGCUGAGGCGCGAAAGCUAGGGGAGCAAACAGGAUUAGAUACCCUGGUAGUCCUAGCCCUAAACGAUGAUUGCUUGGUGUAGCCGGUACCCAAUCCGGCUGUGCCGCAGCUAACGCGAUAAGCAAUCCGCCUGGGGAGUACGGUCGCAAGGCUGAA
rnacentral:rRNA from 1 species